CGGACGGGUGAGUAACGCGUGAGAAUCUGCCCUCAGGAGGGGGAUAACGGUUGGAAACGACCGCUAAUACCCCAUAUGCCUAUUGGUGAAAUGAAUUUCGCCUGAGGAUGAGCUCGCGUCUGAUUAGCUAGUUGGUGAGGUAAUGGCUCACCAAGGCUUCGAUCAGUAGCUGGUCUGAGAGGAUGAUCAGCCACACUGGGACUGAGACACGGCCCAGACUCCUACGGGAGGCAGCAGUGGGGAAUUUUCCGCAAUGGGCGAAAGCCUGACGGAGCAACGCCGCGUGAGGGACGAAGGCCUCUGGGCUGUAAACCUCUUUUCUCAAGGAAGAAGAUAUGACGGUACUUGAGGAAUAAGCCACGGCUAAUUCCGUGCCAGCAGCCGCGGUAAUACGGGGGUGGCAAGCGUUAUCCGGAAUUAUUGGGCGUAAAGCGUCCGCAGGCGGCUUUUCAAGUCUGCUGUUAAAGCGUGGAGCUUAACUCCAUCAUGGCAGUGGAAACUGAGAGGCUUGAGUAUGGUAGGGGCAGAGGGAAUUCCCGGUGUAGCGGUGAAAUGCGUAGAUAUCGGGAAGAACACCAGUGGCGAAGGCGCUCUGCUGGGCCAUUACUGACGCUCAUGGACGAAAGCCAGGGGAGCGAAUGGGAUUAGAUACCCCAGUAGUC
rnacentral:rRNA from 1 species